rnacentral:rRNA from 1 species
AUUGAACGCUGGCGGCAGGCCUAACACAUGCAAGUCGAACGAGUGGAGGACGGGUGAGUAAUGGAGGGGGACCUGCCUGAUCGAGGGGGAUAACUACGGGAAACGGUGGAUAAUACCGCAUAAUAUCAGAUGAGCCCAGAUGGGAUUAGCUAGUAGGUGGGGUAACGGCUCAACUAGGCGACGAUCCCUAGCUGGUCUGAGAGGAUGAGCAGCCACACUGGAACUGAGACACGGCCCAGACUCCGACGGUAGGCAGCAGUGGUGAAUAUUGCACAAUGGGCGCAAGCCUGAUGCAGCCAUGCCGCGUGUAUGAAGAAGGCCUUCGGGUUGUAAAGUUCUUUCAUCGGGGAGGCGUUACCCGCCGAAGAAGCACCGGCUAACUCCGUGCCAGCAGCCGCGGUAAUAC